UUCGGUGGUAAUAGCGAAGAGGAAACACCCGUUCCCAUCCCGAACACGGAAGUUAAGCUCUUCAGCGCCGAUGGUACUGCAUGGGAAGCCGUGUGGGAGAGUAGGACACUGCCGAAA
rfam:Deltaproteobacteria bacterium CG1_02_45_11 cg1_0.2_scaffold_4366_c, whole genome shotgun sequence.